rnacentral:snoRNA from 1 species
AGGAAAUGAUGAAGUCUUAUUGGUCCGUGUUUCUGAAUCAACUGUGACUGAGAAACCUUUCCAACUUCUGAUCUC